rnacentral:lncRNA from 1 species
AAAAACUGUGGUCACCAUCUAGUCUUGUGCUGCCCGAUCUGUCUAGAUCUGGGGAUUACCUGUACACAUUAAAUAGAGAGGGGUGAGUUUACGUAAACUCAGUGUGUAAUCCCACAGAAAAUGAACAAUAGUAAACACAGUGCACAGUUAAAAACAGUCUUGAGCCUAAGCCCCUUUCAGUAUUAGUAAUGGUUUAGCCUUAGCCCAACUCAGUAUCAGUAUCAGUAUGCACAAAGGCUUUAACUCAUCACAGUAUCAGUAAUAGAUAUACAAUAUUCAGUAACAAAGUCCUACCCAACCAACCUCUACACACUAUCUCCGUCCAACCCUACAAUCUAUAUGUGGAUUAAAUCAACUCACCCAUCCCUACACUCCAGAUAGUACCGAAUGCAGUACAAAACAGUGGAUUGCAACUGAACUGCCAGUAUAUUAGGCUUAAGAGCCUUUCAGUACACUUCCUCCAAAUAAAAUCAACCCAAUCCCCAGACAAUGCACAUACAAUACAUGACAUGUUAUGUCAUGAUAUCAGUACAUAUAAUCAGUAAAUGUAUACAUGCAUACUAUCAUCAUACUCAAUAUAUAUCCAUCAAUCAGUCAGUUCACACAAUUAGGGGUCUAAGUAAUGCUUAUCGACCCUAGAAUAGGUUCACAGUUGACUUGGGCGACCCAUGCAACCCUAGCAAUCAAUUCAGUGAAAAUGGGCUCACACGCCUAUGUGAUCUGCUCGUGUGGGCCCACACGCCCAUAUGGCCCACAUGGCCCAAAAUUUUCUUGUCAUGUGGAUCACAUGGCCUGACCCAGAAUCCCACACGCCCGUGUGGCCUACACAGCUUAAAUUAGUCCAGUCCGUGUGUCGCACACGGUUUGCUUGGCCAUCACAUGGUCGUGUCGUACGUGCACUGCCUGGCCUCGUCGAACACACGCCCUUGUUAGAGCACACAACCUACCACAUGAGCAACCACACGUCCCUGUGGCGUCGAUAGUGUUGAGUACACACCUGCUACAGAUUAGAUGCAAAAACACCUCCGAGCCUUCUAGAACUUAUAAUGGACAUACAACGCUCCAAAAUCAGUCACAAUUCUCAAUUUAAAUCGAAACCCAACAUUGACAAUAGUCCAAAAAGGACAUUCAACAUUUACCCCAACUAUCCUGAAAGAUUGCGUUCACACUUCCGCACACGGAGAGCCCCUUACUUCUUGAUUUACUGCUGUCAAAAUAGCAAAUCAGAUUCCAAUAGAAAGAAUCCAAAAAUUCAAAAACAAACAACAAAAGAAACCCAUAAUCGAGCCACAAUAAAUGUAACUUACCUAUGUAAAACAUAGUGCCGAAAAGGAAAAACAAACCUUGCUGGAACGGAAAAGAAAAGAAAAGAUUUUGUUCGAAAAGAAAAGGGAAAACAUAAGAGGAAGAAAGGUGAACGUCAGUUUUUUUUCUAUAGGAGAGAUUUUUGGGGAAAACUGAUUUACUCAAAUAUCACUGCCUACACUAUCUCAACCACCCAGUUCUUAGAUUUUCGGUACAACUCAAACUCUCAGCCACCAAACUGAGCAAAAAUAAUCUCUUUUGCCCACGCAGAGAUUCAAACGCAGAACCUCCAACAGUUUGACACUCCACUUAACCUCUAGACCAGCAAACCCAUUCUGUUAAAAGCUUACCAACAAUUAAAUAUAAGCCCGCUAAACUAGUAUCAGGCUUAAUUCUAAAAUAACCCAAAAUUUGUCAAAAACAAGACUUGAACUUGGGAACCCCCCUCCACACCUAGAACAUUUAACCACUGAACCAGAUACACAAUUGCCACAUUUUCACAAUAACAAAAAUAAGAAUUUUGGGGCAUUACAAUAAGUCUAGGGUCUCUCAACACUUCUUUCGACUUGUGCCCCUCCGUGUCCAGGACAAUGGCGUCAUGGUUCGAUCUCGCCUGACGUAUCACCUUAGUUUCGAAGAAAGGAAAUUUAUUUACAAGUGAAUUAUUUAAUAUAAGAAUAUUUUUUUAUAAAAACAUAUUAUUUACUUUAAUGUAAUAACUUUUAAAAAAUAUAUAAUUCACAAUUUAAAAUUAAGUUAAAAUUUGAAAUUAUAAUUUUUAUUUCAAAGAGAAAAUAUUUGGGUACACUGUCAGUGAAGUUUUUAGACUCCACAAAUAGGGUCAGUGGUUGAUAAGUAUCCUAUAGGGAUAUAGUAAAAUAUUUUAAAAAUAAAACACGUGACAAUUUUUUAAGUUUGCUUGUAAAACACAUGCCAAUAUACCAAAUAUUAACUCAUUUUCAAAUAGAUAAUAUAAAUAUGAUGAUAUUUACAUAGAUUAUAUAAUUCUUUACCAAAUAGACUACUUAUAAUUUUUUACAAUUUUAAUUAAAAAUUUACUAUUAUCUUGUAUUAUCAAAUUUUUAGUUCAUGUAUCAUUUAAUAUUAUUUUAUCUAUAAUAGUUUUUAAUUUGUCACUAUGUUUAUUUUUAUGUCAUUAACUAAUUAUUAUUAUUUUAAUAUUAAUAUAUAUUUUUUAUUUUACAAAAUAAAGCAGUUGGGGAAUUAUUUCCCAAAAUGUGUUUUUUUGGUAUUAAAAGACAUUGACAUUUUUUAAGGGUAAAAGCUAGUGUAUUUAAAUAUCCAUAGCAUUUCACAUUACAACGUCAUUGAGAGCAUCAAGGUCAUCCAAAUCAAUUGCAUUAUUACCUGCUAAUCUAACUAAAUGAUGUGCAAUUAAAUUACUAGUACUAAUAUACAAAAAGGAAAUAGAGGUACAAGAGCUAAUAAUUUUACAAGCCUCUAUUAGGUGCAUGUCAAGCAAGGAUAAAUUUGUACCUUUCGAAUGAAGUCUAUUGAUCACAACCAUGGAGUCACCUUUGAUCAUGACGCUAGGGUAGCCUCUAUCCUUAGUAAAUUUGAGAGUCAUGAUAUAAACCCUUGCCUUUGUUAAUGCGGAAUUUCGAUGAGAAAAAUCUCGAACAUACAAACAACAAAUCAAAUAGAAAAAAAAAACGAAACAAUAAGACGAGGUUCUAAGGCGUGUAUCAAUCCACUAUAUUUAAGGUUCUAUUCGCCUCCACAUAUACUUGGAGCGAAAAUGAGUUUCAAGCAAAUGAAUCUCAAUGAUAUAAUGAAGCCCGGUGACUAUUUGUGUUUUGCACUGACAAAAAUAGUUC